rnacentral:rRNA from 1 species
UUGGAGGGCAAGUCUGGUGCCAGCAGCCGCGGUAAUUCCAGCUCCAAUAGCGUAUAUUAAAGUUGUUGCAGUUAAAAAGCUCGUAGUUGAAUUUCGGGGUCAGUAGAUUGGUCGUGCCACUGGUAUGUACUGGUCUUACUGGCUCCUCCUUCCUGAUGAACCGUAAUGCCAUUAAUUUGGUGUUGCGGGGAGACUGGACUGUUACUUUGAAAAAAUUAGAGUGUUUAAAGCAGGCUAACGCUUGAAUACAUUAGCACGGAAUAAUGAAAUAGGACGUUCGAUCUUAUUUUGUUGGUUUCUAGGAUUGACGUAAUGAUUAAUAGGGAUAGUUGGGGGCAUUAGUAUUCAAUUGUCAGAGGUGAAAUUCUUGGAUUUAUUGAAGACUAACUACUGCGAAAGCAUUUGCCAAGGAUGUUUUCAUUAAUCAAGAACGAAAGUUAGGGGAUCGAAGACGAUCAGAUACCGCCGUAGUCUUAACCAUAAACUAUGCCGACUAGGGAUCGGAUGAUGUUAAUUUUUUAAUGACUCAUUCGGCGCCUUACGGGAAAC